UGAAAAAGGAUACUAUUCCUCUGACAAGGAUGUCAAAAGAUCGGCCCAGCUCAGGGUGCAGUAUGCACUACUAGCUCCUUGGACAGCUGUAAGAAGAGUCUCUGGCUCUUUAGAAUACUGGAUCAAUUCUGAGCUGGUUCUAUACCCCCACUGAAGAGGAAGGAUGGAUCAAUUUUAAGUGGAUUGAAGCCUGCACUAGACAGCAUCCAAAGUUUUGGUGUCUUCCUGAGUCCUGUCUUUCUUCUCAAGGACGUUCUGAGCAUGUGAAACCUGAGGACUGCAAGUAGCUCUAAGCAGCUUCACAUUCAGCAGAUCUUUCCUUUUGAGAAUCUGGAUAAACUCCAAAUAAUCUAAGAUGAUGGCUUGCAGGCCACCUGGAA